CGAUGAACCCCGCUUGCGGGGGGAUUAGUGGCGAACGGGUGAGUAACACGUGAGUAACCUGCCCUUAACUCUGGGAUAAGCCUGGGAAACUGGGUCUAAUACUGGAUAUUGACUUUUCACCGCAUGGUGUUUGGUUGAAAGAUUUAUUGGUUUUGGAUGGACUCGCGGCCUAUCAGCUUGUUGGUGGGGUAAUGGCCUACCAAGGCGACGACGGGUAGCCGGCCUGAGAGGGUGACCGGCCACACUGGGACUGAGACACGGCCCAGACUCCUACGGGAGGCAGCAGUGGGGAAUAUUGCACAAUGGGCGCAAGCCUGAUGCAGCGACGCCGCGUGAGGGAUGACGGCCUUCGGGUUGUAAACCUCUUUCAGUAGGGAACAAGGCCAUCUUUUGGGUGGUUGAGGGUACUUGCAGAAGAAGCGCCGGCUAACUACGUGCCAGCAGCCGCGGUAAUACGUAGGGCGCAAGCGUUAUCCGGAAUUAUUGGGCGUAAAGAGCUCGUAGGCGGUUUGUCGCGUCUGCCGUGAAAGUCCGGGGCUCAACUCCGGAUCUGCGGUGGGUACGGGCAGACUAGAGUGAUGUAGGGGAGACUGGAAUUCCUGGUGUAGCGGUGAAAUGCGCAGAUAUCA
rnacentral:rRNA from 1 species